GAAAGUAAAAGUCGUAACAAGGUUUCCGUAGGUGAACCUGCGGAAGGAUCAUUACUGAGUGCCGGUCCCUCGUGGACCGAACCUCCCACCCUUGUCUCUUGUAUACCCUGUUGCUUUGGCGGGCCCACUGGGAAUUCCCAGUCGCCGAGGGGCACUGCGCCCCUGGGCCCGUGCCCGCCAGAGCGCCCUUGAACCCUAAUGAAGAUGGACUGUCUGAGCAUGAUUGAUAAUAAUCAAAACUUUCAACAAUGGAUCUCUUGGUUCCG
rnacentral:misc_RNA from 1 species